rnacentral:lncRNA from 1 species
CGUUGCCAAUAGUCACUCAGGUAGCAGCUAGUUAGCUGCAAGAUCCAGGUGUAAAUGUCCAGAGCCUGCGGUAGAAAUCGGGGAAAGGAGAGAGAAUAGGUCCGGUAUGCUCUGGUCUGAGUCGCGCUGUACAAAAACUGGCGAUAGCUUUUCGAGCUAAUGGAUAGCUGAGGACAGCUAAGCGUGGCUAGCUGAACUUCAACGUUAGCCAGUGAAAAUGGCUAACCUCUUGCUAGCUUCUGUUGUGGAAUUCAGAUGAGCCGGCUGACUAAGACUGACAUGGAGCUGGAGGUGCUGCGAUACACUAACCGGAUUUCCAGUGAAGCCCAUAAAGAGGUUGGUGGUUCCUGGUCCCCUAGCUGAUGCUGUCCCCCACCCCCCGGACAUCAAGUGAGGCCCAGCGUAUGCUGUCAGAUCCUUAUUGGACUCCUGACGUUGUGGGGGUCAACUCCAGUAUCUGGACUGGGAGGGGUAUGGGAGGCGUCUGCUCCUCCCCUCCGGCGUACAACGUCGCCAGAGUACUAACCAGUCAUCAUUACGCACACCUGGCACUCAUCAUUACACACACACCUGUGAAUCAUUAUGACUCACACCUGGACUCCAUUACCUUCAUAAUUUCCUCCCCUUUAUGUCACUCUCCCAUGUGCACUUACCAGUUGGUAUUGUUCUUGUGUCUCGGCGUACGUGUUCGUGUCGUGUUCUUGGUUUUGUUGUUUUAUUAAAAUGUUCACCUGCACCUGCUUCCGACUCACCACCCC